UACAGAGGGGGCGAGCGUUGUUCGGAAUUACUGGGCGUAAAGGGCGCGUAGGCGGCCUCUUAAGUCGAACGUGAAAUCCCCGGGCUCAACCCGGGAACUGCGUCCGAUACUGGGAGGCUUGAAUCCGGGAGAGGGAUGUGGAAUUCCUGGUGUAGCAGUGAAAUGCGUAGAUAUCAGGAGGAACGCCAAUGGCGAAGGCAAGGAUCUCUGGACAGUUCCUGACGCUCAUGCACGAAGGCCAGGGGAGCAAACGGG
rnacentral:rRNA from 1 species